GAGGAAGGGGGUUGGGGCGACCCGAAAAUGGAAAUUCGUUUUAAAGCACACGAUGAAGUAAACACCACUAACUCCAAACGACGGGGCUUAUAGGCUGUAUUUAAAAAAAAAAGAAAAGAAAAGGAAGAAAAGCAGCGAGACGAACCGGAGGAGGAGUGGGAAGAGAGGAAGAUAUAAAGAAAGGGAGGGGGGUGUGCACUGUGACACUGUGCAGUUGACUACAUAGAGAGAGAGAGAGAGAGAGAGAGAGAGAGAGAGAGAGAGAGAGAGAGAGAGAGAGUAGCCCGCCGGCCCAUUGAGGAAAGAUGGCUACAGUCACUGCAAACGGAGUGCAGCAGGAGAAUGGAUUCAGCACCACGAACAGCGCCGGCAGGAUGAACGGGCUUACCAUCGGCCAGAACACCAUUCCAAUGAAGGACCACGACGCCAUCAAGCUUUUCAUCGGGCAGAUUCCCAGAAACCUGGAGGAAAAAGACCUGAAACCCCUGUUUGAGGAAUUCGGAAAGAUAUAUGAACUCACUGUACUGAAAGACAGGUUUACGGGAAUGCAUAAAGGAUGUGCCUUUCUAACAUACUGUGCCAGAGAGUCAGCACUGAAGGCCCAAAGCGCCCUCCAUGAACAGAAGACGCUGCCAGGGAUGAACCGACCCAUUCAGGUGAAGCCAGCCGACAGCGAAGGACGGGGAGAAGACAGGAAGCUGUUUGUAGGAAUGCUCGGCAAACAACAGAGCGAGGACGAUGUCCGGCGGCUGUUCGAGACUUUCGGCCAGAUUGAGGAGUGCACCGUCCUUCGAGGGCCUGAUGGGGCCAGUAAGGGCUGUGCCUUUGUCAAGUACUCGAGCCACGCAGAAGCGCAAGCCGCCAUCAAUAGUUUGCAUGGUGGACAAACUAUGCCUGGUGCCUCGUCCAGCCUGGUGGUCAAAUUUGCAGACACUGAUAAGGAGAGGACCCUGCGUAGAAUGCACCAGAUGGCAGGCCAACUCGGCAUCUUCAGUCCCAUGACCAUCCAAUUUGGGGCCUAUGGCGCCUACUCUCAUGCUGUAAGUCUCAGCCCAGCGGGAGAGGAGACGCAGAUGAUGCAACAGCAAGCAGCCCUGAUGGCAGCAACACAAGGGUCCUACCUGAACCCCAUGGCAGCCAUUGCUGCCGCGCAAAUGCAGCAAAUGGCAGCUUUCAAUGUCAAUGGCCUGGUGGCUACUCCUAUGACACCGUCCUCAGGCACCAGCACACCCCCAGGCAUUUCUGCUACAGCCGUGCCAAGCAUAGCCACACCUAUUGGGGUCAACGGAUUCAGUGCCCUCCCGCCUCAAAGCAAUGGCCAGCCUACAUCGGAGCCCAUCUACACCAACGGCAUUCAUCCUUACCCAGCACAGAGUCCAACGGUGACCGACCCUCUCCAACAGGCUUAUGCUGGCGUCCAGCACUACGCAGCAGCCUACCCUGCCGCCUAUGCGCCAAUCAGCCAAGCGUUCCCCCAGCAACCGACCAUCAUUCCCCAGCAACAGAGGGAAGGGCCGGAAGGUUGCAACCUGUUUAUUUAUCACCUGCCCCAGGAGUUUGGAGAUGCUGAGCUCAUGCAAAUGUUCCUUCCUUUCGGCAACGUCAUCUCUGCCAAAGUCUUUGUGGACCGAGCCACCAAUCAGAGCAAAUGCUUUGGCUUUGUGAGUUUCGAUAACCCAUCCAGUGCUCAGGCCGCUAUCCAGGCUAUGAAUGGCUUCCAGAUAGGCAUGAAGAGGCUGAAGGUGCAGCUAAAGCGGCCAAAGGACGCCAACCGACCUUACUGACUCGUCUGCUGUCCAUAAACAGUGUGAGGUGGCCUUUCUCCGCUAUAGCCACACACCCCACCGACACCUGUCAUGGGGUCAAGUUCCCACAGCUGAUGAAGGGCCACAACACCUUAUUUCCACAAGUGCAGUAAAAGUACAAAGACUCCUCGUUCUGCUACAUAUCAUGAAGAAAGGGUGGUCCCUUGAUCCUCCUGGAAAGCCGCUGAAAGAUUGAGUGACUGAAAGAAGGAUCCCAGAGUUGUUGUUUUUUAUUAUCAUUUUAGUUUUUUCUUUCUUCGCAAAUGCCUCUCUUUACCCUUUUUUGCUUUGGCAUCUGUGGAAGAAGAUUUUUUGCAGAGACCAACUUUUUGCUGCUGUUUUUUAGACAUGAUGAAAAGGAAAAAAAAACUUUAUAGACUCAUUAUGCUCAAAGCAUGCAUACUGACACAGGAUACAGAUAAACUCACUUAAAAAAUAUUUUAAAAAAUAAACCAAACAUACAAGAAAUUAAACAAGCUGCACUUAAUGAAUGAAAAACUUAAAAAAAAAAAAGACUCUGUACAUGUAUAAAUACGUGCAAAUGCCAACACAAGAACUGAAGCAAAUCCAUUCGCGCACACACACACUAAUAUACACACACACACACCAGCCUGCUGCCAUUUUGGUUUUUGUGCCUACACAGGUGUUGUGCUCUGUGACAGGGCAAGCUCUGCAUCGAAGUGGAAAAACAAGAAGAAGAAAAGGAGAGGAGUGGGGAAAUCCAGGAUAAUUUACAUGCAUCAUUCCUUAGGAAAUAGGGACCAAAGGACUAAAUGCUUUUUAAAAGAUUAUAAAUAUAUAAAUAUAUAAAUAUAUAUUUAAAAACUCAUACCUUGUAGCUGCAAGUAUUUACUCCUAGUGGAAAAAAAGAAUCAUUAAAUCAAUAUCCAGUGGCUUACUGUAAGAAUGAAUAAAAGAAAAUGGAAAUAAUGUAUAAAAAAGACAUGGAGUCGUAGUAUAGAGGCUGAUCUUUCGCUCUGGAUGCUGAUUUUAGCAGCAGGUUGUAGAAUAGUGAUGUAUACUAGAAAAAAGUACAUUUGCAAAUUUUUGCUGUUGUUAAAAAAAAUCAUUUAAUUUCCCAUUAAAGGUUGGUGAAAGACGGAGUAACAAAAACAUUUAUCCAUGCCUUUGGACGGCACAUGUUCAUUUUUUUUUUUUCUUAUAUGUAAAGGUAACAGCCACUGGAUAUCCCACUCAUCAUGAUGUAUAAGGCACUGCACUCUCUGACAGCUAAAGAGACUGAUCUAGCAGACUAAAAAGGAAAACAAGAGACAAAGAAAACUGAACUCCGUGAUGUCUGUGCUGGACAGCGUGCAGAUAUUUAAGGCUUCUCACUGGCCUUUGUGUUCAAGCGACAAUCCACUGUAAAGACCAAGUCAAAUGGACAUGGGGUGUCUGUUUUUCCCCUCUCUUUCUGUUCAAUCCCCUUGACCUUUUGUAUUGCAUCAUGAAGUGUAUAUUUUGAAGCCACACAUGAUUGAAAUAAGAUGGAUAAAAGACAGAUAGAUGACCAUGAAGAGAACAGCGAAAAAGCACGAGAGGAGGAGGAGUAGGGCAACAGCUACUGAAACUGCCAGGAGAAUGAACUGUGUUUAGCAAUGAACUAACCUUGUGGUUCUCUCCUCAAGUUAACGCCGAAAAAAAAAAAAAAAGCAGGGAUGUCUGAAUGAUAAGACUAGGCUGUCUGUGUCUAGCAGAGGCAUUGCAGUUUAGAGUGACAAAAGUUUCAUCUUAUUUGUUAGCAGAUAAAAAUAAACACAAAUUUAAUCUAAUACAUUCAAGGAGAAAUAGGGUAGGCUUUUAAGGCUCAUUUAGCUCAGCUGAACCUAAAUUAUACAAAUUUUACUUUAAACAUAUUCCCUGACCAUUUUUUUCACUUUAUAAAACAUGGAAGUUAUGAGUAAAAGCAACUGCUUAAACAGACUAAAUCUAUGAAAUGUAGGAACCACUCAUCAUCCUCGCUCAACUCAUCCAUAGCUUUUCAGAGUAAAGCACUCUAGUGUUGUCACUUUUUGAUUUAGAGUCCUGUUGCCUUUUUUGACUGUUUUAGAGCUGUACAUGUGGACUCCUCUGUAAAGCCCAAUCAAUAUGUUUGGAGUCAGGGAGGAGCUCUGGUUGUUUUCAGUCACUAUGAGCACUUCCUAAUUUGCUCUGCAGAACACCAGCUCGCAUCCUUAAACCAGCCCUUCUGAGCACUGACAGCUGGCAUUAAGAGGCAGGGCAAGGCAAGAAGGAGUUGAGCAGGAAGAGAGGAAAUCAGUGGCUUAUCACAUUUACAUCCUUCUUAAGUGAUGCUUCAUGGUUGUUGCAGCACAAUGUUGCUGACAGAAUUAGAAAUGGCAGUCAAGCCUUUGGCGACAAAUAUUAUGGAUCUGUAAUGUAUGCUUCCGAAGAACCCGUAUUUAUUUCCAAACAGAUCAUAUUUCCUGCUUGGACUCUUCUUCUUGCCUUCUCUUUCCUCAAGAUUUUGACACAACAACGCGGAGAGUUUAACCAAAAGAAGUGCCAGCGCAUUCCAUUUUUCUAAUGCUCCACCUCUGUCAUUUAAGUGGGCUUAAGGUCUUGAUCCAAGCUUUGUCAACCACCUUGUCUUAUUGGGACUUUUUUAAUGUUUGAACAUUACACACGCCCUUUCAAAUCACAGCUGUUCACCAUAACCCCACUGAUUUUUUAUUUUAACCUACUGAGCUACUGCGUGUGCUCACUACACUUCAAUUAUCUCUUGCACUAUAUUAAACAUGCUUUUCAACAUUCCCUAAUCACACCACAAUCAUAAGCCUCUAUACAUUAGCAGCAAUGAAGUGAAAAAUCACAGGGAUAAUCACCUGGACCCAAUGAUGGCAGAGAUGGUUCCCAACAUGCACAUGGGUGACAGAAGGAAGAUUAGGGAGAAUUAUGUCUGUGCCUACUCCUUGGCAAGGCUGCUGACAGCUGACCUGGCAUCACUAACACAGCCACAUUUACCAGGAGAGUGGAUGGGGAAUGCAAAACAAAACAAUCCAUAUUGGCCUUAAAAUUGCAGAGCAGAUUGGCAGUGCCAAAAACUAAAAUAGUAGUGCAAAGUCAAGCAAAGCAUUAGCUUUCCCUGCUCAACAACUGUUCCAAAAACAGUUGCUUAUAAAAUGGGUCAAAACCAACAAUUUUGUGGGAAAUGUCCAAUCCUGCUCUCGUAGCAGCUGAGAGUCCUGUGUAUCCGCAACAAAAUUGCUUCUCAGCAGUUGGCAAUAGAGGUCAACCAAUUUUACAAAACAACUUGCUCAGACUAGUUUCUUUUCCCUCCUUGUAUUUCUGCUAAGAGACUUCCAAAGCACACUUUUGCUCAACUGUAACAUAAUAUGCAGAAGCACAGCUCUUCAGAGAAGAAUGAUGUCCAACGAAUUGCUUAUUUUGUAAUGGAAUUAUUACAUAACAUUUCUUCUUGUACUUUUUCCCUACGUAACCUUUGGUAUAAAUGCCGAAGAAUGCAUGAAGUGGGUUAGAAAAAGGCUGCAUCCUCUGAACAGUUUGUGUUUAUUAUCUGUUUGAAGCAGAAGCCGUCAGUUGGCAGAGUAAUGUUCAAUGAGCAAUUGAAUGUUCCAUGCUUGUCUUGGCAAUCCCUAAAAUACACUCAGUAACAUAAAUCUUGCAUGCACGCUCCACUGAACUUUUCCAUCUUAAAUCAGAUGCUGUAGUGUUUUCUCUCCUAAUAGCAGGUUGAGUCCCCAGUGAGCCAAAAUCCAGCCCAGCUUAGCCUCCUGCUGUCUAGCUUGGCUGAUAGUGCAACAUUCAUGUAGCAUGUACCUGCUAUGCCAGAGCUAAAUUAGGAAAUGUGAAACUAGCACUUGAACACUUUUAACAAGGGUGCUCCGAUUACCUUUACACCCUGGGAAGGAUGGUGCUGAAGUGUUGAGCAUUGAAAGCAGAGACAGUGGCGUAUGUGCACUAGAGCUACCAAAAUGAGACAGAAAGUUUGUUUUUAGAGUUUUACAUUGCUUGUUGAAAUUUAAGUCUGCUUCUCUUUCAGUCUCUGAACCCUAAAAAGUGGCAACUACUAAGUUACCAAAUUGUGAUUUUGCAUAUUUCCUGAAAGUUGAUAUAGGUAAAGGUUAGUUAGGACUUUGUCUCUAAUAAUAUAGAACUAAGUAAAAGCUUUCAUACAACUUAUCAGAAUUGCUAUGUUACGACCACAAGCUUCAAAGUAUUUUAUUAGCAUUGUUCACAUACAAUGCCUUGCAGUGCAUUCAUUAUGAAGUGGAUGUAAAAGCACACAUGAUUUUCAAUAUUGUUCUACAAACUUAAAAACUCUAAAGUGUGGAGUACAUAUGUAUUCAGACCCCCCAAGUUAACACUUUGUAGAAUCACUGUUUGAUGCAGACACAUUCAGAGGUUUAUUUCUAACAGCUUUGCACAUCUGGCAGACUGUGUCCACCUGGAAUGGGUCAUUCUAUCACAUUAAUAUGCUUUCACCAAAACCACUACAUUGCAUCUCUACCUGUAUGUUCAGGUUUGUUGUUCUUUGGGACGUUGAGCCUUUGUCUCAGUCUUUGUGGCCCUAACAUGUUUUAUUUUCUAGCCCCUGCCCUUAGAUCCAUUUGUCUUCAUAUGAACUCCAACAAAUUGCCCUGUUUAGUGAAGUAAAGAAUUCCCACAGCAUGAUCCAGCCAUCGCCAUGUUCUAUGAUGAAGACCCUGGAUUUCUUUUCUGAUGAAUUCUUUCAGGCUUGUUUUAGGUAGAUGCUUUAGGAAAUUUGCAUUUCUGACAUACUUUUUCCAUUUUCUAGAUGACUGAUUGUGGGGUGUUGUAUGACUUAACCCGGCAUCAAGCUUCUCCACAACUUUAUCCCUGAUCUGUUUGCUGUUCCUUAGCUUUCUUGUUGUUGAGCUUUUUUUUCUCUAACAAACCCAUGAGGUCUUUAUAGAACAGUGUAAUCAAAUUACACACAGCAUACUAAAAUUUACACAGAUUAUCAAUUAUGUGGUUUUUGAAUGAAUGUGGUUGCAUUAAAUUUAUGAGGUGUAACUUUAUAAUGGGGUUGAAUGCAUUUGCACAGCUCACUUUUCACAUUUAAAUUCACACACACACAAAAAUCACAAAUAAUCCCGAUGAACUUUAGUGUUAGAUGUUAGGUGAAACAAAUUUAGAAACAAUCAGAGUGAACAGCAUUUCACUCUGGUGUGUCAUCAUUUAUGAAAUUAAAUAUUGCUUUGGCUCUGAUUUGCUCUUUUAACAUGAACUUAAAAAAAGGUUUCUAAAUUGAUGAGAUAUUUUAGCAAGGAAAUAAGAAAGAUGCAUGCAUAUUAUUACUUGCAAGGCUUGUUGUUUAGCGUUGCAUAUAUUCUUGGAGGAAUAGAGUGGAAUAUGAAUAUCCAACCCACUGGGUGCAUAACACUCUGAAAUAGUGGUGAUUGUCAAGGAAAGGAAGCAAAAUGUAAUUGACUGAAAGCAGAGAGAUAAUUAAAGGAACCUGUUGGACAGGAGGGAAGAAAUUAAUGCCUCUCAUUUAAUAGCUGCAUUGGGAAAGAGCUGUUCCAUCGUCUCAUUUUGGCACCUAAAAGGGUUUUGCUCUGGAAAUGGAAUUUUGGAUAGAAAAAGAUGGUGGGUGGGAAUAGUGGAAACAGGCACUGGGUGGUGUUGGUGCUGGUGGGGGGGUGCUGCGUGCUAAACUGAAACUCCACAAAAUCGCUCCCAAUGCUCAGGGCAUCAGGCACAAUGAUGUCAUGAUUAGUGGAGAGGUUCAGAGCCUUGCCUUAACCCUGAUCCUGAAAAGGUCGAGCAGACAAAUAGGGAGACAGUGUGAGGCAGCAGAGGGGACUGAUAUAUCAACAAAUUCUCGGUUUGGACCUAAAUGGUCAUAAUUCAAUUCCAAGAGUAACAAAGACACAUCUUAAUAUCCACCAGAAUGCACAGAAAAAGACUUAAGGUGUGUGUGGCGACAUUUAACAACACCAAGAAAUAAAGGUCAAGACUUUUUUUCUGUAUUUCUUAAUGUAAAUAGCCUUUGAAACACUAAUAAGGGCAAGGCUCUAUAGCAACUUGUGUUGAGAAGCUCAACUCUGUGGGACAAUGAUGUCACUAUAAAAUGUAUCCACAGCAGUGCAGGGAUUUAGGAGAGUUUAAGUCCUCUUAAGCCCCUUAGGUUUGGGCUGUGAACAUGCAUCCUACAACCGAAAGCGUCGGACCAAGGCUUAGAAAUUAUUUGACUUAGUGUCAGACCUAAGCCAUGGCCCCAAAAUGAUCCGUUAAUUAAGAUUCCGUGUACACCGUCAUGUCAUGAUUUUUCUGACAGAAGAAAGAUUGCCGGUGCAGUAAUUGGAUUAGUCCAAUUGGGGCUGAUGAACAGAUAUGGCAGUGACAGUAGAGUUCAUCCGUCUGUACAAACGCUCCGUGCUUGACAAUUUAGAGGCAAAAAGGAGAAGAAAACAUCAGCUACGAGUAGACUUUAAGAAAUUAAUCACAAGAAAACAUUUAGGCUUUUGCAGCAGUUACAGAGGCUUUUCCUCUCCAGGUACCAGUUUGUUUAGCAUGUACAUAAACCAUUUUGGAUUCAAGCAUUUAUGACACAAGGUUUGAAACUAUACAUACAUGGUUAGGCUGACACUGGAGGAACGGACAAACAACAAAGCAAUCCCAGCAGAACCCCUUAUUGCUUGAUCCAGUCUGCCACUGUUCUCCUAACCAGACAGCUGCAUUAUACCUGUACAUACAAUAUAGCUUAUUUUUAAAUUCUGUUUAUCUUUCUUUAUAGGUCGUACAUUAGAUCAUGUUCAAACGUAAAAAAAAAUAAAAGAAUGGCUAAUAUAUUUCAGUGAAACUGAGAAAAGGAACAUAUUGAAUAAUUUAUCAAAAGCAGAAGAUAAAAUGUUUUUAUUUCUUGUAAAGUGAAACACUGUUGUUUAAAAAGGGGGAUUUUAUACUCAUAUCAGUAAAUGUUUCUUUAUUUUUUCCACUCUGUUGUGUUAUUAACCGCUGAAGCUGGGCAAACCCGUUGUCACAAGGUUUAAUCGGAUAUCCUUUGAUCGUUUUUCUUUAUUUUUGGGGCCGUACAAUCCCUGUGUGAAAUCCCCUGUGGAUGGACGAGUUCAAAGAGAUUUUUCUCUCUGAAAGCUAUUAAAUCAAUACAAGAAUUAGCAAACUGCACUGUAAAAGGAUGAUUGAUGGACCUGGUCCGUGGAUUCAGAAAAAAAGAGUUUAUUGCACAACUGAGUCCUAAUGGUUUAGGUUUGUUGGAAAAAAGAAAAAAAAAUCUUACUUGAGACCUUGUGGUAUUUCAAAGCAAAGAAAAUAUAACCUCAAACAAAACAAAGAGAAAAGGAAAAAACCAGACAAAAAAUAUCAAAUUUUGCCAUCCUAUUGGUUUUGGGACCUAUGCUGUCAUAUAUUAUUGUCUUUUAACCACUGUUGGUGUCCUGUAACAGUACCCUUUUUAUGUCUUUAUUCUUUUCAGGGUUAUUUGUCAUCAUUGACAUAUCUCUGAGCUUCAUAUUCUCUGCUCCUUCCUAAGGGAUGUUUCAACCACAGCUUCUUACUUAAUGUGAGUCAAUCCACUAAAGACACUGUGCCAACAGUAGAUCAUGUGACACCACUUUGCUCCAGUCGAGUCGGUUUGUAAAAGUGAGUUGGGAAUUCUGCCUUAAACCCAGCACUACCUGUGAAGAGUGGUCAGACACUUUAUUCUGAGGAUGCCAAAAGCUCUUUAAAGCAAACAUUUAGCCAGAUUCAGUUUUAGCCUCAAGCCCAUUGUGACACAAAUAUGGAUGUGGUUGUCCACCUCCAUUUCCAUUGGUUACAAGGACCAAAAUGUAAACAAACUCAGCUAGCUGAGCAGUUUGCUUCAAUCAAGCAUUCAUUGAGAACCUUUAAAGUGUUCAUUAUUCUACGUUCAUAUUUUUUGUAUUAUAAAUCAUUACAUUCCCAGCUUCACUAUGUAAUUUCAGUUUUUAUUAAAUGUUCAAAAUUUAUUAUAAUUUUCUUAGGUAUUUUAAAAAUAAUCAUGUUUUUUUUUUCUUCUUUGAUUUGAAAGAUUUUGAGUUAAUGUUUCUGCUUUUUUUGUUUCAAACAGAAAUGUAAUUUAAAUACCGCUGGCUGGGGCCCGUUUCCCUGGUUCGGGAUGAUAUCUCCCAUAGUGAUCCUGAACUCUGUAGUUCUCUAGUUAUUAUAUUCUGCUUAGACUAAAAUAAAGCACAGUCCUGUAGAAGACGAAAACUC